GCUCUCAAAUAUAGUUGGUGCUUGAUUACAUAAGUUUAUAACCUUUAAAUUUAAUUUUCUUAUCUGUAUUAGUGGAUCAUAUACUAGUAAGAAAUUUAUCCAAACUGUAUUUCUAUGAUGUUUGCUUAUGCUUAUUUGUUAGUUUUGAUAUUUUUAUACAAUAAAAACAUGCUUUAGCUUCUAAGAGUGACAUAUAAAAUGGUUUAAUCUGGGAACAAAUUGUUGCACCGCAAGAAUAUAUUAUUAUGGCAUGGGGCUCUUGUUGCAUUAACUAUAGUACCUUCAUUGUAACUUGUGUUAAAACAUUUUUGACACUAUAACAAAGUACAUUAUUCAACUUUGGAUUGAUAGCAUUUUGUAAUUCAAAAAGGAACUGGAGGUUGUUCAGUACGCAUAUCUUUAUCUCUAAUUACCAAUUUUCUUUCAUAAGGGUAGUCCUGUUAUUGUAGGCUUGUAGCAUUAGACUUGAUGUAAUUUAUGAACUAGUACAUAAUAAGAUGUUUUGACUAGCGGAUUAUGGAGAAAGAAGAUAUUUGUAGAAACUCUACACUUUCAUAUUAAAUAUUCUCCUCAUAUACAUGUCCUUUAAUUUUACGAUGAUCAUUUGGAUGGAAUGAUUUUUCAUGCAAGAUUACGGAUACCUCCAGAUCAGAGACAGAUUACUCCGAUGCUUCUAAUGCAUUUGACAGAAGCAUUUACUCCCAAUGAGAGGUAUGUAUAUAAAGAAUACCCACUGUCAUCAAACAAUGUGGGCGGUCAAAUCAUAUAACCUUCAAGUUCAUUGACAAAUUACUUCGGCACUUUAAAUUUAUAACCUUCAAGUUUAUUAAUUUGUUUAGUUUCAUGAACGAUGAACUUCGGGUUGUAAUCAAUUAUCUUCAGAUCAUAUGACAAAUAAUUAUUUAUUUCAUUUUUAUU